UGAAGGAUGUGACCCCUCAUGACCUCCACUCUAUUCACAUAGCUACCUUGUAGGACUUGAACUAAUGGAUGCAGACAUGAGCACCUACCUGAAAACAAACAAUCAAAAUGAAAACUCUUGUUAAUAGAAAAGGUCAAUGAAAAUGUAGUUCAAUACACAUUUCAGACUUCCUAAUUUAUUGAACUCAGAUCAAACAAAACGAAACAAAGAACAUCAUGCUUCCAUUUUCCUUGGCCAUCCUUUGAGUUCGGAAACACCAGGAGGGAGACAGAUAGGAACUCUGGUGACACUUUUCUUUGACAUAUACAUUACAGUAAGAUCUCUGUAUCUCCAGGAUCUCUAUCCAAAGAUUCUGUCAACUGUGGAUUGCAAAUGCCCGGGAUGGAUGACUGUGCCACAUGCAGUGCUCUGGUGAUCCAUGCUGUUUUGAUUCUGCAGAAGUCAGGAUCCUCCUUGGUCCAUUUAGCUGACUUGUGUAACUCAAACUAUCAUGCCAAG